rnacentral:rRNA from 1 species
GAUGAACGCUGGCGGCGUGCCUAAUACAUGCAAGUCGAGCGAACAGACGAGGAGCUUGCUCCUCUGACGUUAGCGGCGGACGGGUGAGUAACACGUGGAUAACCUACCUAUAAGACUGGGAUAACUUCGGGAAACCGGAGCUAAUACCGGAUAAUAUAUUGAACCGCAUGGUUCAAUAGUGAAAGACGGUUUUGCUGUCACUUAUAGAUGGAUCCGCGCCGCAUUAGCUAGUUGGUAAGGUAACGGCUUACCAAGGCGACGAUGCGUAGCCGACCUGAGAGGGUGAUCGGCCACACUGGAACUGAGACACGGUCCAGACUCCUACGGGAGGCAGCAGUAGGAAAUCUUCCGCAAUGGGCGAAAGCCUGACGGAGCAACGCCGCGUGAGUGAUGAAGGUCUUCGGAUCGUAAAACUCUGUUAUUAGGGAGGAACAAAUGUGUAAGUAACUAUGCACGUCUUGACGGUACCUAAUCAGAAAGCCACGGCUAACUACGUG